GUUAAGUAGACCGCCUGGGGAGUACGGUCGCAAGAUUAAAACUCAAAUGAAUGGACGGGGGCCCGCACAAGCGGUGGAGCAUGUGGUUUAAUUCGAUGCAACGCGAAGAACCUUACCUACUCUUGACAUCUACAGAAGCCAGCGGAGAUGCAGGUGUGCCUUCGGGAACUGUAAGACAGGUGCUGCAUGGCUGUCGUCAGCUCGUGUUGUGAAAUGUUGGGUUAAGUCCCGCAACGAGCGCAACCCUUAUCCUUGUUUGCCAGCACUUCGGGUGGGAACUCCAGGGAGACUGCCGGUGAUAAACCGGAGGAAGGUGGGGACGACGUCAAGUCAUCAUGGCCCUUACGAGUAGGGCUACACACGUGCUACAAUGGCGCAUACAGAGGGCGGCCAACUUGCGAAAGUGAGCGAAUCCCAAAAAGUGCGUCGUAGUCCGGAUUGGAGUCUGCAACUCGACUCCAUGAAGUCGGAAUCGCUAGUAAUCGUGGAUCAGAAUGCCACGGUGAAUACGUUCCCGGCCCUUGUACACACCGCCCGUCACCCCAUGGGAGUGGGCUGCAAAAGAAGUGGGUAGUUUAACCUUCGGGAGGACGCUCACCACUUUGUGGUUCAUGACUGGGGUGAAGUCGUAACAAGGAACCG
rnacentral:rRNA from 1 species